GAUUCAGCUAAAGUAAAGAGAGCCGGCUAAUCUGGUGCCAGCCGCCGCGGUUACACCACGUGGCUCAAAUUGACCCCUCUCGGCGUAAAGCGUGAUUUAAGAGAUACUAUUCUGGUGUCAAAAAGACAUUAAGCCGUGACACGCUUGUAUCUAAGAAGCCCAAAAACGAAAGUUACACCAAUCAAAUCAACUUGAACUCACGACAGCCAGGAAACAAACUGGGAUUAGAUACCCCACUAUGCCUGGCCGUAAACUUUAACUUACACCUAUGAUCGCCCGGGAACUACGAGCCAAGCUUAAAACCCAAAGGACUUGACGGUACCCCAAAUCCACCUAGAGGAGCCUGUCCUAUAAUCGAUAACCCCCGUUUAACCUCACCAUUCCUUGUCUAUCAGCCUGUAUACCUCCGUCGCCAGCUUACCACGUGAGCGUCAUUAAGUGAGCUUAACGCCCAUACGCCAACACGUCAGGUCAAGGUGCAGCUAAUGAAAUGGGAAGAGAUGGGCUACACUUUCUACCGUAGAAAAAACGAAAGACUACCUAUGAAAUCUAGUCAGAAGGAGGAUUUAGUAGUAAAAAGAAAACAGAGUGUUCUUUUUAAUCCGGCACUGGGGUGUGUACACACCGCCCGUCACCCUCUUCAAGGCCCAAUCAAAGUACAUAACCAAACUUUGCCACAUAGAAGAGGCAAGUCGUAACAUGGUAAGUAUACCGGAAGGUGUGCUUGGAAA
rnacentral:rRNA from 1 species